GGGGAUUUAGCUCAGCAGCAUAAGCGCCUGCCUUGCAAGCAGGCAGUCAUUGGUUCAAUCCCCG
rnacentral:tRNA from 1 species